rnacentral:piRNA from 1 species
UACACAGAACAAACAGGGCAGAGAGGUGA